UGCUGUGAAAAUAGACUUGUUUGGCUAAUUUCAACGAAAAUUAUUAAUUUUAACUUAAGGCUAACAAAAAGAUUAUUGUGACAGAUGUGACAAUUAAUAAAUUAAGGCGAAUAUCAAUGUAAUCUUGUUGCAACUUGAAAAUUGCUAUUCAAUCAUUCGGUCCGAAGGUUUAAUUGUUAUCAUCGAUAUUAUUGCUAAACUCAUCGAGUCUGUUUCUUUCAUUGUUUGAUUGUGUUAAAACCAUUUUACUAUUCACCACUUCAAUUGAAAAUCUAAAGAUCAAUCAAUCUCUGUAGUAUCAACAUAUUGUAAUUAAUUUCAGAUUAAUUGUUAUCUCUUCAAUCUGACUGGACUUGCCUUCAAAUAGUGUUUUUAAUAUCGUACUUUAUUUAUUUCCUGUGAGAAGAUUGUCAAAAUGAGUUUCUUGCUUUUACUUUUCAUCAUUAUUGAGUGUUACGUAUGUUUUCAAUUUUAAGACAAUUUGAAACAAUCAGCCGAUUCAACAGUAAUCAAUGGGAUCUAAUAGUGAGAUGUUGAGCACAAUGACGUAGAUAAUGACGACAAUCAAUUAGAGUUCAUCUGUUGAUUGGUUUAAUAAAUUAACUUUGUAGACAGAAUCAAUAAUAGAUAAGAUUCUGGGAUCCACCAUAAAAUUCUUCAUUUUCUUUCCUUAUUGUCACCCCACAGAACUAGAAGGAACGGUCAUCCAAAAUAUUGUCAAUGCUGGUGAAUUGUUAAUUUUUUGGUGAUUCCUGGUAGAGGCUCGCCUCGAUCAUGUCCCUCGAUUAUGAUUAACAAAAGCUAGUGCCCUAGCAACUCUGAUUAGCUCAACAUUCUUGGAGAUUAAAAUGUUUUUCAUGUCAAUUUUACAAUGAUUGAACCCAUCAAUUGAGCUGCACGGUUACUUAUUUUUCUUGAGAAAAAACAUUUUAUCAGAAAUCUUGGUGUUUAUGCAAUAACUGCUAACUGUUGAACAUUGAUCAGUUUCAUUCUGCGUGCUCAUUGACUCGUUGACACAAUUGAUUGCUGACAGUUGAAAUUUACGAAGGCACUUUUAGCUUGCUUAGAAUCAAUCAAAUACAUUGUGAUUGCAAUCUAAGUGAUUGUAAUAUCUACAGAAAGGACUUUUCAAACUCAAAUGACCUUGUCAAUGAGCACUAGGCAACAAGCGAAUUGAUAUUUCUGUUGCAGAAUUUUCUGAUUGAGUUAAAGUUGAUGAGACAGCAUUUGGUUGCUGAAUAAAUAUUGUCAAGUCUGGGAUAGAGUAUGGAGAAAAGUAGUCUUUAAUGAAAAAUGAAAGAAAGUAGCGAGGUAUAUAAUUACGAAUUGAAAAUGGUCCAAGAAUUUAUAUUGACAUGAAAUUGGAAUUGCAAAUAAAAUAUGAAAA